AUUGAACGCUGGCGGCAUGCCUUACACAUGCAAGUCGAACGGCAGCGCGGACUUCGGUCUGGCGGCGAGUGGCGAACGGGUGAGUAAUACAUCGGAACGUACCCUGUUGUGGGGGAUAACUAGUCGAAAGAUUAGCUAAUACCGCAUACGACCUGAGGGUGAAAGUGGGGGACCGCAAGGCCUCACGCAGCAGGAGCGGCCGAUGUCUGAUUAGCUAGUUGGUGGGGUAAAGGCCCACCAAGGCGACGAUCAGUAGCUGGUCUGAGAGGACGAUCAGCCACACUGGGACUGGGACACGGCCCAGACUCCUACGGGAGGCAGCAGUGGGGAAUUUUGGACAAUGGGGGCAACCCUGAUCCAGCAAUGCCGCGUGUGUGAAGAAGGCCUUCGGGUUGUAAAGCACUUUUGUCCGGAAAGAAAUCGCGCUGGUUAAUACCUGGCGUGGAUGACGGUACCGGAAGAAUAAGCACCGGCUAACUACGUG
rnacentral:rRNA from 1 species